GACCGAAACCCACCCCUGCCACCGCUAGAGUCGCGGCUCUGUUGAUGACUUCUGGGAAGUGUUGGAAACAGGGCCUUAAAAAAGAAUGGCGUCCAUUUACAUAAUGCUUUGUUUGCAUUUUGCAAGUUUCUUUCGGUUGAACCUACAGAAAUCCCACAGUGUCGUUUUAGUCGUGGCAGUCUCGUCAGGCAUUUAGGACAAUGGUGUGCUCCUUUUGGGACCGCAUUUAGUCAGGGUUGCUGACUAGUGCUUGGAGAAUUCUUGCGAUUUCCCCCCACACUCUUCACUUUCCCGCUUCUGCGUUUCGGCCUUUCCCCCGUUUCCCCUUUUGGUGCGAUCGCCUCGCCCCGCUCCCCUUGGGGGCGGCCCCUGUCGGGCCCCGCCAUCUUGGAAGGCCUUUCUUGCCGGUUCGCCACCGCACGUCCCUCUCGCCAAAGAAAGGUUGCUUGGGAGGCUCGUAUGAAUUCACUUAGGCCCAGAGAGAUGAAGUGACUAAUUCAAGGUCACACAGUGGAGGAUGGAUUCCAGACCUUCUGAUUUCCUUAUUGACCUGCAGUAUCUUGUGUAUACGUGAUUGAAUUCCACACCACCCAUUUUACAGAUGAAGCCACUGAGAUAUGGAACAUUUGACUAGUCACUGACCCACCCCUGGAGCCUCACACAUGACUCUUCUCCUCCCAUUUGAAUGACUGCAGGUGAUCUCAACUUCUCUGACAGCUCCACUUAACCAUCUACACAUGGAUGAUGUCCAGAUCUUUCUGUGGACCACAGUAUCCAACUGCUCAUGUAGACAACAUCACAAGGAUGUCUUGCAUACUCGGCAAAAUGCAGCCUCCUGCUCUUCCCCACUUGCUCCUCAUCCAUUGUCCUCAUCACAUGUGAAAAGUGGUCUUGUCACUGUAAAUAUGGUGGUUGAGAAUGUGACUCUGAUAUGAUGUGAUGUGAUAUGGUAUAUGAUUCUGGAGCCAGCCUGCUGGGGCCUGAAUUCGGACAUAACCACUUACUGUGUGACCUUGGUUCUCUAAGCACAUGCUAUUGGAUAAUCCUGCCUGGAUCAGUCCUUUCCUCACCUUGGACUUCACCUUCUUUUCCUCUUUAUUCUAUCUGCUAAAGUUGCCAGCCAGCCUCUUUCACCCCAGAGGGGGAUCCGGCUCCUGAAAUCCCAGCCUAUGCUAGUGCCUCAUGCUUCCUGGGGGCUUGCCAAGAAAGUCAAGUCUUCAUUGCAGUGUAAUCCACAAGUGUCAAAACACCACUGGUAACUCUGGUUUACUGCUUAAGAGGCACUUAUCCUAUUCUCCAGAUAACAUUUAUUGAUGUGACCCAAGGAGUAAGCUAUGAUGGGGGCAGAGGUGAGGGUGUGGUGUGCCCUUACUGUAUGUACUGGAGCUGGUGGCACCUGUUAUGUGACUAUUACGGUGAAUUAUUACUGAGUAAACAAGAGGUGUCUCUCUUUUGCCUUUCUAAGGGAGACCAGAUGGCAGUGGUUGCUGGCUUAGGUCCAGGGGAGCCUGGCCUCUGGGCUGGCAGAGGAGACAGCUUGAGUGUGUCAGGUGAUGGAAUAAGAAGAAACAAGGCUGGAUUGUCAAGUGGUAUAAUUUCAGGGGCACCAAGAAUGUGUCCUGCCCCUCUGAGACUUACUUCAGCUCUUUGCUAGUGCUUGGAAUUCAGCAAGUGAAAUUUAUUUCCCUUAAUUUAAGUCUUCGAGACCCUAUUAAAAACGAAGAUAUGAAGAAUUUAGGCAUGAUGUUGUCUGGAGAAUAGCUGACAGGCAGAAUGUAACAAGGAGUGUGAUGGUCUGUGGUUUGCUGUGAUGUCCUCAGACAAGACUGGCAUAGAUCUUAGGAAGUAGGAGGCAGCUUCCCAGAAGUGAUGUAAAAUGGUGGCGCAAAAGAGGCUGCUGAUGACAACAUGGGCAGGGCACUUCCUCAGAGGCUGCUGGUCGCAGACAACUUCUGGUCUUGAUUUCCCAAUAUGUUGUGCUGAGAUAGGGCUUUACCAGAAAGCAAAAUAAGCCACAUAAAAAGGAAUGACAAAGCAUUUGGGGUGUCCAUGCAAAGGUGCAGUUCCCCCUUGUCCACUAACUUUGGUGGAGCCAGAAUAACUAAUCCAGAGGCUGCCAGCAUAGAGCCUUGAUUCAGAUCUACAGCUUUUUUGGCUUGAAUUCCUCCAAAGAGAGCUUUUCUAGUUGACUGUUCAUCAUCUUUCUUCUAGCACUGCUCUCAAACUGCCUUAGUAAUCUAAUUCUCACAUCUUUUCUCCCCCAGGGAGUCUUCGACAGAAGCAACUUAAAUCUUCAUGCCUUUCCCAGCUCCUCACAGUUGGGUUCAUAGGAUGCCCUUUACCCACUUGCUUCAACUUCUACUCUAUCCAUGUUCCUACCCUAAGUGUAGAGCAUUUUGUUUUGGAUCAGACUUUUGGCUUCAUUCAGGCCUCUGGGGUCCUUCCAACACAUUUCCCAGAAGGCUAUUCUAGGAAUGGUCUCCACCCCUCACCUCCUGAAAUUUGACAGGGUCUGGACCUCUCUUCUUUGUGAAAUUAGUGCAACUCUGUGGAAGUGUCUGGAUAUAUCACACCCCUUCCUGUCUCCCCAACCACCACACCCAUGCAGAAGAUCUAGUGAUGUAGCUAGGAUCUGCUGAUCACCAGGACUUUGUAGCCAGUGCCCCCAGCAGGGAGGGACUCCUGGAUAGGUUUACUAUACUGUGAACGACACCUAUGUCCACUACUCUCUGCCUCUCUUCCAUCUCACCUUUAUUUUGUCUUUUCCCUAAGAAGACAAAGAUCUGUCCAGUUGUCCUGCCUUGACCCCCUAGUCUUAUCUUGGACUAGAACUCUGCUGUCAACCCCUCAACAGGGGCUGGGGCUUUUGCUUUCCAGCCUCUCUAAGGUCAGGUCACUUCUCUGAUA